rnacentral:misc_RNA from 1 species
UCUCCCUUUAAUUUGACAUUGACAUCAAGAAUGAAUUUCCAAAAUGCUGUUUUACGUCAAAGUUAGAGAUCGGAAUCUGUCUUAACGCACAUGCAAGCACGUGUCAUGUUAUGAUCCUUUAUUUUUAUGGUUGUCACCAUUGCCAAAAAUUUGGAAUUUAUUUAUUAUUUAUUUUUGGAGUGGUUUUCAACAUUUCUUCUAUUUGGCCUUG